AUUGAACGCUGGCGGCAGGCCUAACACAUGCAAGUCGAGCGGAGCGGCGGACGGGUGAGUAAUGCCUAGGAAUCUGCCUGGUAGUGGGGGAUCACGUCCGGAAACCGGCGCUAAUACCGCAUACUCUCAGAUGAGCCUCGGUCGGAUUAGAAAGUUGGUGGGGUAAAGGCCUACCAAGGCGACGGUCCGUAACUGGUCUGAGAGGAUGAUCAGUCACACUGGAACGGAGAAACGGUCCAAACUCCUACGGGAUGCAGCAGUGGGGAAUAUUGGACAAGGGGCGAAAGCCUGAGCCAGCCAGGCCGCGUGUGUGAAGAAGGUCUUCGGAUUGUAAAGCACUUUAAGUUGGGAGGCGUUACCAACAGAAUAAGCACCGGCUAACUUCGUGCCAGCAGCCGCGGUAAUUC
rnacentral:rRNA from 1 species